UACUUUUGCACCGUCUAACAAUAGAUGCUAGACAUACAUAAAAAUCAUUAAACAAAUAUUGGAAUG
rnacentral:ncRNA from 1 species